GUCAUCAAAGAGGCCAAACACCUGACUCCGUCAACUGAGCUGUGCCAACUUCUGACAGCUGCAGAGAACCUUCCAGAAGAUGAUCAUACCGACUGAGACAGUGACAUGGCUUCUCUGCUGCUGCUUCUCCAUCUCUUGCCACCCACAGCUGGACGGAAGAGGAUCAAAAUAAGUCCCAGUGAUGCAGUGGGAAAAAUGUUGCAUUGUCACAAGUCAUGCUGCAGCAUCAGUGAACACCUGCUGGGAA